GCAAUGCAAGCAAAAAGGAUUAUAUUCCAAAGAUGGAAGGCAGGAGAUAGCCCACUAUUUCAGUCAUUAUCCCAUCACAAUUAACAUUUAAAGCACGGGAACGUCAGGAAAUACAAAUAAGUCAGAUAUCAAGAUUCAAGUAUUUUCUUCUGAAUGAAUAAAAUACUUAAAGAAAAACUGUAGAAGUUUGUGUUCUCUUACAGCCUUUUCAACUAAAGAAUUCAUCCUAAAUUGUUCUGGAUUAAUUUAAACACAAAGGAAUCCAAGCCUUCAAAACAAUCGAUAACAGUGUUACACAUCAGCUGGACAUGUGUCCAAUACUUCUUACAGCUCUCAUUAAUAUUCACCUUUUCUUCCAAAGUAAGAUCUUCUCCGGGUCCGUGGUAUGGAGCCACAAGCUUCCAGGUAACAAUAACAGCACUGCUGGGAUCAAAAGUGGCCUCAGGAAACCCGCCUUUGAUAUAGUCUGAUGCAAGUUGUAAGACAUCUGAGGAUGAAUCUUCUCUGUAAUAAACAUUUCCACGUCCAUCUGUUGUAUCCAGAUCAGCCAUAAAAGGAGCAAUAGCCCCAAAACUGACUGGGAAUUGGCCAAGAUAUUUUUCUUCAUUCUUAGGUUCAUUCACUGCAAUAAUCCCAUUUGUGGCAACGUAGAGGGAGCGGACGGCGGCCCCGUAGAAGUGCAGCGCCGUGCCCAGCUCCAGCGCCGCCGAGCGCGCGUCGUCCCCGGGCUCCAGCGCCGCAUCCCCGCGCUCGGCGCCGUGCGGCAGCAGCAGCUCUGCGGGCAGCGCCAACGGCAGCGCCAAGGCCAGCAGCGCGCAGGGCGCACAGCGCGUCCCAACGCCCAUACUGACGACUCCCGACACGGCGGCGCGGCUCCGUCGCUAUAAGUACGGGCAGGGGGCGGGCUAAGGGCGUUCCUGAG
rnacentral:lncRNA from 1 species